GCCUAGCCCUGAUGGAAAUGAAAAGCCUCUUGUGGCUCAACCGAAUAUUUUACUUGUGCUAGCAGAGCGACUAAAAGAAGCUCCUGCUAGUGCUUUAGUAAAAUACGGUUGAGUCAUAAGAGCUUGUAAUGUAGAGCAGGAUUUUGC
rnacentral:sRNA from 1 species